AAUGAUGAGGAGCUUGCUCCUCUGAUUUAGCGGCGGACGGGUGAGUAACACGUGGGUAAUCUGCCUGUAAGACGGGGAUAACUCCGGGAAACCGGGGCUAAUACCGGAUAAUAAGAGAAGAAGCAUUUCUUCUUUUUGAAAGUCGGUUUCGGCUGACACUUACAGAUGAGCCCGCGGCGCAUUAGCUAGUUGGUGAGGUAACGGCUCACCAAGGCGACGAUGCGUAGCCGACCUGAGAGGGUGAUCGGCCACACUGGGACUGAGACACGGCCCAGACUCCUACGGGAGGCAGCAGUAGGGAAUCUUCGGCAAUGGGCGAAAGCCUGACCGAGCAACGCCGCGUGAGCGAUGAAGGCCUUCGGGUCGUAAAGCUCUGUUGUUAGAGAAGAACAAGUACGAGAGUAACUGCUCGUACCUUGACGGUACCUAACCAGAAAGCCAC
rnacentral:rRNA from 1 species